AUACGGAGGGUGCAAGCGUUACUCGGAAUCACUGGGCGUAAAGCGCGCGCAGGCGGCUAUUUAAGUUGGAUGUGAAAGCCUACGGCUCAACCGUAGAACUGCAUCCAAAACUAUUUAGCUAGAGUGGGGGAGAGGAAGAUGGAAUUAGUUGUGUAGGGGUAAAAUCCGUAGAGAUAACUAGGAAUACCAAAAGCGAAGGCAAUCUUCUGGAACACUACUGACGCUGAGGCGCGAAAGCGUGGGGAGCAAACAGGAUUAGAAACCCCAGUAGUCC
rnacentral:rRNA from 1 species